rnacentral:rRNA from 1 species
CAGUCGCCGCGGGAAUACGUAGGUGGCAAGCGUUAUCCGGAAUUAUUGGGCGUAAAGCGCGCGUAGGCGGUUUCUUAAGUCUGAUGUGAAAGCCCACGGCUCAACCGUGGAGGGUCAUUGGAAACUGGGAAACUUGAGUGCAGAAGAGGAAAGUGGAAUUCCAUGUGUAGCGGUGAAAUGCGCAGAGAUAUGGAGGAACACCAGUGGCGAAGGCGACUUUCUGGUCUGUAACUGACGCUGAUGUGCGAAAGCGUGGGGAUCAAACAGGAUUAGAUAUCCGUGUAGUCCCUGUCUCUUAUAA